UCAAUGACUUAUAUACUUCCUAUGUCAUCUUUUGUAUCCUCCUUAUGUCUCUGGUGACACUAGUAAUAAGCAUCUUCAAUGCUGAAUUUUAUGCAGUUGUGCCCUCAAUACCAUGCUCUCGAUUAGCACUGAUAGGAAAAAUUAUUCACCCUCGGCAAGUUAUCCAUUCGGUUGUUCAUGCUAUAAUGGGAAUGUUGGUUGCUUGGUGCACUGCAGUUAUGACCAAAGGGAAGUUCCAGUUUCUUGCUGUGUCCUGCACAACUUCAGAAAGCCUAGAUGAUGCUCUUCCUCAGAUGUGCCUGAAUGAGUAUCACCUCUUUUUUCUGCUUUCUGGAGCUUUCAUGGGAUACAGUUACAGUCUUUUGUAUCUUAUUAACAAUAUGAAUUACUUGCCAUUUCCAGUCAUACAGCAAUACAAGUACUUACGGUUCAGAAGAUCUUUGCUUCUUCUCAUUAAACACAGUUGUGUGGAAUCGCUAUAUUUUGUUAGAAACUUCUGUGUCGCAUACUACUUUUUUGGUUAUAUCCCAAAAGUAUGGAUAAGUACCACAAUGAAUCUUCAUCUAGACAGUGAAUUGCAUCCUCUUGACUCUUUGACUGGUUUAUUGGAUAUCUCCCUGUUUUACCAUGCCUGGUUGUGUGGCGUGUUUCUUCUGAUUACCUGGUACAUUGCAUGGUUACUCUUCAAAAUACAUGCCACAGAGACACAUCAUUUUCCUGUCCAGCCAACUUUUGCUGAGGAGACAGACCAGUGCCUGCCUAAAAUCUUAAACAGCAAUCCUCCCUUAAUUAUAAAGUUUUUAGCCUUACAAGACUUGAUGUUACUUUCGCAAUAUUCUCCUGUUCGACGACAGGAAGUCUUCAGCCUUAGUCAGCCAGGUGGGCACCCGCACAACUGGACUGCAAUAUCAAGGGAGUGUUUGAGUCUUCUGAGCGAUCUGACCCAGAGGCUGAUCGCACAGCAGGAAGCUGCAGCAGCAAAUGGGAGAGUGAAGCAGCCAGCAGGAGAGCUGAAAGUAUCUCCACAGACUCCAGGAGCCGUGGUGAGAGAAGACAUGGCUUUCCAGUCACCGAGGUCUAACAUCAUUCCCAGAGCCUCCAUGUCUUCACUGGUUAAACCAUCCCUUACGCCUUUAAAGACAUUGUCUGGGUCUGACGUUGGUUCGCCUCUUAGCUCACCUUCUUUAAAUUGCAAGAUGGGAAUUCUGGGUGUAAACUCUCCUUGGCAUGUAUCAGUCCAAAGUCCUCAAGUUACGCGAAGGGGACCAAAGUUGUGGACGUCAGAUUCAGAUCUGCAAAUGAAUGGUUCCCACCAGAAAUCUUCCCCAGUGGUCUCUGCUGCAAGAGUUGGCAGUGAAGUGGUACAGCCAAGAUUUAUUUACACGUGGCUUCAGAACAAGCAAGAACAGAUAAAAAAUUUCUUGGCAAAACGAGUGCUGAUAAUGUAUUUCUUCAGCAAGCACCCAGAAGCCUCCAUCCAAGCUGUCUUCUCUGAUGCCCAAAUGCACAUCUGGGCUUUGGAAGGUCUGUCUCAUUUGGUAGCAGCUUCCUUUACUGAAGACCAGUUUGGAGUUGUCCAAACCACACUGCCAGCUAUCCUGAAUACUUUACUGACUCUUCAGGAGGUUGUAGAUAGAUAUUUCAAACUGCCUCAUGUUUCUAGCAAGCCCCCCAGGAUUUCAGGAAGUCUGGUGGAUACAUCCUACAAAACGCUACGAUUUGCACUUAGAGCUUCUCUGAAAACAGCACUAUACCGGAUAACUACUGUCUUUGGGGAGCACUUAAAGGUGAGAAUCCUGUGAAGAAUCCAAAUAAUCAGAUUCCCUUGCUGCUUGGUUGUCUGAUGGUUCUUUCUCAGCUACUGUUGCAGCAGGCAGACUCUCUAAAUAAGUGGGACUGAAACUUCCUGCAGUAUCUGCCCAUCUUUCCCUGUGGGGAUGAAAUGUCACUUGGUUUGGAAGUGCCCGAUGUACAGGAGAGAUCAUUUUAAGAGAUUCUUUCUUACCUCAAUCAUUCUUGCAAGUUAAACAAUUGCUUGUGUGUGUUUAAAGUGCAGUGCAAGUGUCUACAGAACAUAAGAAAAGACUUCAGCAAUUCUUGGAAUACAAAGAAUAAAUAGCAGAUUUUGAUGCAGCUAUGGUUGUUUUUUUCCAACACUUGGUAAGAAGAAAUUGGGACUGAUGAGCCUUUUUAUCUUGGCUUUUUGGAAAAGCAUAUGGAAGUACAAGUCAGAACAAAACUCUUAAAACUGUAGAAGAGCUCUUUUGGGUUUGGAUUAUCUUUUGUAUAAUAAAGCCUUUUUUAAAAUUCAUCUUGCUGCCUUUUAAUAUCACUUACAAAUGAGUAAGUGUCAGUUCUUAUUUUAUGUAAGAUUGACAUUUGAGAUUAUCAGAGUUACUUUGCCACU